UUUUUUUUUUUUUACACUGCUUUCUGCCCUUACAACACUCACACACCUCCUGGAAGGAUAAGAUAGGCAGCUUCUCUCUUGCUUCAUCCCUCAGCUUAUUUCCCUCAUCUCUCCCUUGCUUCUUCCCUCAUCUUAUUUCUCCUUUUAUUGAGAAGCAGUAAGCUAGUGCAGGCGCUUGGAACACACCCCGGUGCAUCUGCAUCCAAUCCUGACACUUUGGCUGGGAGAGAGGAGAAGGAGGUUGGGUUCUGCUGUCCACCAGCCAAGGACUCCCCAGGGCUGCAAGAAGCCUUCAAUCUGCUCCGGAUUCUCUCUGCAGCAAAAAAGGUUUUGGUGAACAGUUGUGGAAUGGACUGA
rnacentral:lncRNA from 1 species